CCUUUCCUAAGACAUAAAUUGACCUAGGUGAAGGAACAUCAAAGGGAAAGGAGAUAGCUAGAGAUUAGAAGAGGAAAAGAAAGGAGGAAUUCAAGAAAGGUUUGGUGUUUGUAUGAUUUUUCUGUUUUCCUUUGAUUCUGCCAUGAAUAAGUGAAAUUAGGGGUUGAUUUUACUUGCUGGAAAUAUUGUUUUGAUUGUAUAAAUAUGUUAUAUGAAUGUUAAAAUGAUGUUUGAAAGGCUUAGAGUAAAGAAAUUUAACAUGAGAGCUAAAAGGGCAAAUCUGGCAGAAUAGGUUGUAACAGGACAGCUUGUGUUGAUAUUCUUAUAACUUAUUGUGUGGUUAUUGAAAUUAGGCCUAAGAUAUACCAAAUGAAAUCUGAGACAAAGAGCUAAAACUUUCAUGAAUUGACCAAAUUCUGAAUCUGUAGGUAAGAUGAUGAAAAUUUGAAGUGAUCCUAAACUGGAUACAGAGUUAGUGCAUCGGGAACAGUGUGUAUUGAUUAUACUAUAACUAAUUAUGUACUCAGUGAAAUUUGUUAAUACCAGUGCCAAAUGAAUUCUAAGAAGUAUACCUAAAACUUUGUAGAAGACACUUUAGCUUGAAUUAGUAUGGAAAUGCAUGAAUCUGAUAAGUUUUGUGAUACUAUAAACAUGUACCAAUUCUGGACUGAUUAAGACCUUAUGGAGCAGCUUGUAAAGAAAAAUUCAUAACUUAAGAUAGGAUGAUCAGAUUUGCAUGAACCAUAUCUUGUUGGAAAGAUAAGACAUAAAUUUACAUUUCUUAUGAAGAAAUUGAAGUCAAAUUGUGACUCUAAGCUACUUGAAAAGUUUAUGCAAAAGAUGGCAGAAUGUAGUUUUCUUAAAUUGGAAUGCUAUGUUGAUAAAGUUUUGCACUAUUUGCCAUGAGUUUUCCAUAUUGUAAAUCUUGGCAUAUGAUAUAUGGACUUUGGAAAAUGAAUUCAAAUAGCUUCAAAUGGCAUGUAUUUUACAUUGAUACAUUGAAUUAAUAGUGCUUGGCCCUGGUAAACGUAAUAGGAGUCGAGGUUAGUAUAAGGGUAUGGCAUGCCAUAUAAACAUACAGAGUUCGCAGUACUGCUACCGAUACAUGAUUUAUAUUUGAGGUUACAUAUCUGGUACCUCAUAAGCAUGGCUACAGAGCUCUGCUAUCACAGAUUUGGCCUUUGAGCCUACCGUUCGGUACCCUGUGCCUACCGUUAUAACUCCUUAUCUACCUAGUCGAUCCUACUAUGUGUUUAUAAGGGCUAAGAUCUUAGUUAAGAUUAAUACUUGAUUUUGUGAACUUAUUAGUGAGUGUUAAUAUGUUUGCAUUUAUUACAUGCACUAAGCUGUGGUGAUUUGUUAUGAAUAGAAAAUGUGCAAUAAAGGAAAAAGAAGAUGUUUUUAUUCUGAUUAUCUGUAAACGUGAACUUGUUUACGCUAUUUUGUUAUUUGUUAUUAUCACCCAUUGAGCCUUAGCUCAGCGUGUUGGUUUUUACCUCACGCAGGUUGUAGAUAAAGUAGGCACGCGAAGUUCAUCAAAGGUCUACAUCAGAUAUCAAGGCCAUUAUCAUAGCUGGUUCUUUUGAGUCUCUGAGUCAUAGUACAGUUUUAUUUUGGCAUGUACAUAUUAAAUAGAGUGAGUUGUAAAGAUUAUGUAAUCAAAAAAUAGUAAGAUAUCAAAUGACAGUUGUUAGUGUAAUUAUAAGUGUGAUGUUCAUAUGUAUUACAGGUUAAAGUGCUAAUGAAACAGAGGAAAUUCUGCCGAAAAAUUUUGGUUUAGAAAUCUCACAUUUAUUUUAAUCACUUGAUGAAAGUUACAUGCAUUACCUAAAAACUUGGUAUUUANNN
rnacentral:lncRNA from 1 species